GAUAGCAUGGUGCCAGUGUAAGCUUGGUGCAGUGUUUUAGUCAUUUUUCCACGCGUCGUAGCGAAAUCUUCUGUACAGAUACACAGCUCCGCUCAGAAUGUACGGGUAGAUAGUAAUGUUGUGCACCUUUCUGUGGAUUUUUGUGGCUUUUGAAGCAAGUAUGUUCGUCCGGUAGCCAACGGCGCGGCGAGUGUCUGCCGGAGACCUCUACAAAACAACACUGUCAAGAGGCUGUCAAUCACUCCUAAUCUCCAAGCAGAUCCUACAAUGGCAUAAGAUAGUACCAAACUGGCCAAGGAGUAUAGUUAGCCAAGAGGUGCCCAUUUGCCAUGUAGAUUUGCCCCGGUAGCAAAACACACUCCUUAGCCGGCUUCACUCCUCUGCCAGCUUUUGAUGCUAUCUUAUGCUACCAUAGGAUCUGCUUGGAGAUUAAAUCACUCCGCCAUUUUCUCUGCAUAUGAUCCAGAGGACUGAACGCCGUAACUUUCGGGCUUGAAGAUGGAAUCAUUCCAACAUCAAGGUGUACAUCCCCUCUCACAAAGGGACGUCAUCGAAAUGUUUGCUACAAGUGACAACAACUUAGACAGCAGUGAGGGUGAUACACCCUUGGCGCAGCUCAUCUGAGACAGCAGUGAUGAUGAUACACCCUUGGCGCAGCUCAGCCUCCAGCGACGGGGAGGUGACGGUGACAGAGGCAACUGCAGCUCCAGUGAAGAUAAUACACCCUUGUGAAGAUGAACAUCAGAAGGAAAUGAUGCCGCACGCCGUCGUCCACGCGUCCAAAUGAUGCCGCACGCCGUCCUGUACGUGUCCAAAUGAUGCCGCAUGUCAUGAGCUGUCAUCGUCCACGUGUCGAAAAGGAAGCAGUCAGUAACCAAUAUAGCAUGAUAUCACAUUGUGAGUGCAAUUUGAUGCCUCUGGUGCUAUUCAAAGAUGUGUUACGGGUUGACAGAAAGUGUACCAUGUUGCCAUAUUUGGGGUGGGAAGGAGGGCGAUUAGUACAAAAUGCCAUUUUCAAGUUUAACUAUCUCUGUUAAUAUGUUCAAUAGACUUGUUACUGCUAUAGAUGUGUGAAAUAUAGCAUGAUAUCACAUUGUGAGUGCAAUUUGAUACCUCUAGUGCCAUUCAAAGUUGUGUUACGGGUUGACAGAAAGUGUACCAUGUUGCCAUAUUUGGGUGGGGAGGGGGGCGAUUAGUACAAAACGCCAUUUUCAACUCUGAAUAUCUCUGUUAAUGUCUACAAUAGACUUGUUACUGCUAUAGACGUGUGAAAUAUAGCACAAUAUCACAUUGUGCGUGCAAUUUGAUGCCUCUAGUGCCAUUCAAAGUUGUCUUACGGGUUGAUAGAAAGUGGGUUCUGUAACAAUAUUGUCCAUAAAGAACUUAGCCAUAAAAUAAGAAAUUUGCAUAAAUUUCAGAAUCAUAAACAAAUAAAUGUAAUCUGUCAUAUUUUUCAUAUGUUUGGUGGUAAAACACACAUUUUGAGCCCAAAACCAGCCCUUUGGGGCACAAAGUAAAGAAUUUCACUUUGCCGACACCUUUUUUCUGGUUAUUUCAGCGAUUUUUGUUCCCACACCAAAAUCAUAGGUACCUGCAAUUGAAAAUGUAUCAUAGACGGUCUCAAGAUUGUAUUUAUAGCUUAACCCUACAAAGUUUUAUUCAUAUCUUUAAAAUGUUGCCUGAAUAAUAGUUGUUUCUAGGUUUAUUGGCUUCUUGAUACCACACAUCUGAUCUGUUCACAUUCUUUGCGCUUUAUGACAGCAAUC